rnacentral:lncRNA from 1 species
CAAAGAAAAGGGCAUUACGGCUGGUACAACAAUUCACGUAACCAGCUACCACUUUUUGGAAAGAAACGCAAAAGGGCUUUCACGCUACAGAGAAAGAAGAAAAAGGCUUUGCGCAUGGAGACGUAAAUUCAACAACGCCGAUUGAAUUAAACUGAAGCGAAGCACAGGCAACGAACGGAACUCUAUCGGUUUAUUUUCUUUGCUAUGUUGUUUAUUUCUUUAAUCAUGUCUAGCUAAUUUCCUUUGAUUAGGUCUGAGAUGAUUCUGGUGUAACCUUUAAUUGAACCAUAUUGCUGUGAAACUCUAUUUAUUGUGAAUAUGACAAUCUAGUUUUUAUUCAAUUCAAUUGUUCUUAAUGCUUUUUAUAUCCUGAUCAAAUAUAAACAAGAUUUAGUGAUGAUUUAGAAAGAAUGAAUGACUACUGACCAUAGUUUUCUACUUAGACAGAAUUAAAUUGUUCUAAUAAACAGGGUUAGUCUAGGAAUGGAUAAUCGUUUGUUAGUGAUAUUAGGUUAACGUUCUUAAAACCUUCAAAGAUUAUUAGACCACCUAAGGAAUUAGGGGCUGUAGUUUGAGAAGAGGGUCCUAACUCAAGGGAUUGAUUAUGACUAUUUUGUUAACUAUCGUGGAACUAGAAAAGCAUUCACAAGAAUAUGUGCAGUAUACCAAUUAGGGGAACAUAGAUGAUUCGAAAGACCUGAUCGCAUCUCUCUCUUAUUCUUUCCAACUCUAUCUUUAUAUUCUGUUUAUUUAAUUUUAUGCAAACCAAAACUACUGCCUCAGGCAUUAAAAUAAUUUACACAUCCUAAAUAUUAACCUUAUUGCUAAAUUGAGAUUAACACAGUCCUCGUGGGAACGAUAUUUUUACUACUUCGAUAAUAUUUAGUACACUAAAAUAUCUAUCAAGUUUUUGGCGCCGCUGCCGGGGACUGUUGAGUCAUUUCGAUUUGGUAAUUUUGUUUUUAUUUAGGAUUUCUGUCAUUUAUAUUUUUGUUUAUAUAUAAAAAAAAUUAAUUAAAAGAAAAUGAUUUAUGCUCUUCUUUUUCUUCUCAUUGUACUGUGCUACUAAAAAGUUUAUUCAAGUGUUGCAGCUAUGAUAGACAGGUUAUACUUCCAUGACACAAAAGAGAUUGAUAUGCUGAAGUAUGAAAAAUAUAUGCUAUCUUUGAAGAUAGGAUAUUUGGACAAUAAAAUCUCAAGAUUAAAUGAGAGAUGUGGUCGUUAUGAGGGGGAUCAACCAGGUAGUAAUUGUGAAGAGAAGAAAGAGGUGAUCAACAUCGAUUACAAUACUCAACUUAAAAAUAUUUUAGAUGAUUUCUUGGUGUCAAAUCAAGUUUCAUUUGAGAAGUUUGAUGUUCAGUGUGGUGAUCUUGUUGAGAAAGCACAUGAGUCUCAGAGGAAGCUGGUUCAGAUGGAGACUGAGUGUUACGAGGUUGUUGUGGAAGAAAAUCCCAAAGUGAGGAGUGUGGAUAUUUUUCCGAAGUCUGGAUCAACGAAGGUUAAGGAAAUAACUCGUGUGCAAAUGGAUGCACGUCCUUCUCUAAGGUGGGAGAGCUUAAAUUCCAAAAGAUCAACAGUGAGUGCAUGGGAGUAUCUGAUUCUUUAUGCCAAAUUCAUGGAAUUCCUACCAAACAGGAGGAAGAAGAAGGGGUGAUAAAUUCCUUCUAUCAUUUUUGCCACCCUAACAGUGGUUGAAGCGUCAAGCUCAAUGACGUAAAAGAAAGCGCUUGGUGGGAGGCAACCCAUCCUUUUUAUUAUGUCUUUAUUUUCAUUAAUUUAUUUCUAUUGUUGAGUCAAACAAUUUGUCUUUAAUUUUUAUUUUGGUUGUAUCCCCCUGUUAUGUGAUUGAAUCUGAACUUGUUUAUUAUUGAUGAAUUUGCUUGUUUGUUGAUUUUUUCCAGUUUAAUAACAAAUGUUUGUUCAAGUGGUAUUCCAAAAGUUCAAAAGGAUGAGUGACUUGUGAUUCAAAGGCGAAGUGUACGGCAGUGAAAGAUAGGUAGUCACAACUCCCAGAAAUCUAAACUGUAAGGUUCAUGGCCAAAUUUUAUUUUCUAAUUUACUUCUAAAGAGUGUUCCAUGCAUUUACAUUUCUAGAACUUGCAAUUUUUCUCUUUUGUUGAUUGAUCUUUGUCAUUAGCACACUGAGGCAAAAGUGCUUGGUCCUGUGAGCCUUUUUGAAGCCUACCUUUUUAUUAUUUGAAAUAUUAUCCUUUUUUAGCCAAUUUGAGCCGGUAGGUUUAGAUAUUUUUGUUCAGUGACAAACUACAUUACAAGCUUAGAGACUUUUAUGAUUUAUCCCUUAUUGUUUUUCUGAGUUAGGCAUUGUAGAAUGUUGCUAAAUAUUAAGUUUGGGGUUGCUAUUGGAAUUUGCAACCAACUAAGUUUGGGGUGGGGGUACUAGAGAACAAAGAAAGAAAGAAAAAGGCUUUGCGCAUGGAGACGUAAAUUCAACAACGCCGAUUGAAUUAAACUGAAGCGAAGCACCGGCAACGAACGGAACUCUAUCGGUUUAUUUUCUUUGCUAUGUUGUUUAUUUCUUUAAUCAUGUCUAGCUAAUUUUCUUUGAUUAGGUCUGAGAUGAUUCUGGUGUAACCUUAAUUGAAC